rnacentral:rRNA from 1 species
GACGAACGCUGGCGGCGUGCUUAACACAUGCAAGUCGAACGGAAAGGCCCCUUUGGGGGUACUCGAGUGGCGAACGGGUGCGUAACACGUGAGUAACCUGCCCUUGACUUCGGGAUAACUUCAGGAAACUGGGGCUAAUACCGGAUAGGAAUCCUUGCUGCAUGGUGGGGGUUGGAAAGCUUCGGCGGUUUUGGAUGGACUCGCGGCUUAUCAGCUUGUUGGUGGGGUAGUGGCUUACCAAGGCUUUGACGGGUAGCCGGCCUGAGAGGGCGACCCGCCACACUGGGACUGAGAUACGGCCCAGACUCCUAACGGAGGCAGCAGUGGGGAAUAUUGCACAAUGGGCGGAAGCCUGAUGCAGCAACGCCGCGUGCGGGAUGACGGCCUUCGGGUUGUAAACCGCUUUCAGCAGGGGCGAAGCUUGUGGUGACGGUACCUGCAGAAGAAGCACCGGCUAACUACGUG